CCUUAGGAUAGCUGCAACCGGUUAAGAGUUUUAUCAGGUAAAGCGAAUGAUUAGAGGAUUCUGGGUUGAAAUGACUUGGACCUAUUCUCAAACUUUAAAUGGGUAAGACGAGCGACUUGCUUGAUUGAAGUCGUUCCGCGAAUGGAAGUUGUUAGUGGGCCAUAGCUGGUAAGCAGCUCUGGCGAUGCGGGAUGAACCGAACGCAGAGUUAAAGUGCCGGAAUACUCGCUCAUGAGAUCCCACAAAAGGUGUUGGUUCAUAUAGACAGCAGGACGGUGGCCAUG
rnacentral:rRNA from 1 species